GCGAGGGCCAAUUAUGAAUUAGGGUCAAAAUUAGACCCAAAGGCACAAAACCGAGUCUAGAUGACGGCUCUUGGAUUCUUUUGCAAAUCAAAGAAUGGAAUUUGAUAGCAAACUAAAUAAGAUUUUUAUGAGCAUUAAUUUUGGAUGAUUUGGAUUUAUAAUGACUUUGUAAGAGCUUUAUAAAGUCAAGUUUGUUUUUAGAUGACUUGAGUUUUGUGAAAUAAAAUAAGGUUGACGUUUCUAGUGAUUUCAAGAGUUUUGUAAUAGAUCCAUAGGUGAAAUUUUGUGGAUUAAUGGUCAUAGUUGUGCUUAAUAUGUGUUGUGAAUCUUAGCUCGAUCUUAUAGUUGAAUUGAGGGUUAUUGAAGUUUAAGUGGGUCAAGAUCUCAAAAAAUAGAAUUUUAGGUCUAGUGAGGGUUGUUAAGAUUUCUUGCAAUCUACUACUUGGAUUGAAGUGAAAUUUAUGUGAGAGAAUAUUAGACUUUUUUUCCUAUGAAUAUAAGAAUUUUGAGAUCAAUCAAAUAGUAAAAAAGAGAGAUAUUAGCUCUGGGAGAUUGGCAUCAAGGUCAGAGAAGGAGGCUGGCCAAUAUCCAAGCAUGUUUUGUAGGCUAUUGUCUAUUUGGUAAUUUCAAUCAUUUUCAAAAAAAAAAAUUACUUAUUUUCAACUUAUUUAUUAAAAAGCAUGAAAAUUUUGAAUUAAGAUCAACAGUUCAUUUAUUAGUAACUGAGGCUUAAAUUUAUUGUAGGAAUUACUAGGAUUUGAUUUAGGAUUUAGGAUUUAGUUUAGGAUUUGGUUAGGAUUUGAUUUAGGAUUUAGGAUUUUAUUAGGGUUUAUUUAGGAUUUAAGAUUUAGCUAGUUUUUGGCCUAAAAUUUGAAUGAAGUCCAAUAGGAUUUUAACUAAGAUUAAAUUAAGAUUGAAUUGAGAUGUAUUUGAGAUAUAUUUGUCAUCAUUUUAAUAUUUCUUUAAG
rnacentral:lncRNA from 1 species